CAGGUAUCUCAACACACAGUUUAUUAAAAAGAAUAAACUGACAGAAGUGGACCUUCAAUAUGGUUAUGGUGGUGUAGAUAUGAAUGAACCACUUAUGGAAACAUGAGAGCUAGCAUUGGACAUGUGGAGGAAAUUGAUGGUUGAACCACUUCAGACCAUCCUUAUCCGAAUGUUGCUCCAAGAAAUCAAAAAUGAUCGUGGUGGAGAAGACCCAAACCAGAAAGUAAUCCACGGGGUUAUUAACUCCUUUGUUCAUGUUGAACAGUAUAAGAAAAAAUUCCCUUUAAAGUUUUAUCAGGAAAUCUUUGAGUCUCCCUUUCUGACUGAAACAGGAGAGUAUUACAAACAAGAAGCUUCAAAUUUAUUACAAGAAUCAAACUGCUCACAGUAUAUAGAAAAGGUUCUAGGUAGAUUAAAAGAUGAAGAAAUUCGGUGUCGAAAAUACUUACAUCCAAGUUCAUAUACUAAAGUGAUUCACGAAUGUCAACAACGAAUGGUAGCAGACCACUUACAGUUCUUACACGCAGAAUGUCAUAAUAUCAUCCGACAAGAAAAAAAAAAUGACAUGGCAAAUAUGUAUGUCUUACUCCGUGCUGUGUCCACUGGUUUACCUCAUAUGAUUCAGGAGCUGCAAAAUCAUAUCCAUGAUGAGGGCCUUAGAGCAACCAGUAAUUUUACUCAGGAAAAUAUGCCAACACUAUUUGUGGAGUCAGUUUUAGAAGUACAUGGUAAAUUUGUUCAACUUAUCAACACUGUUUUGAAUGGUGAUCAGCACUUUAUGAGUGCAUUGGAUAAGGCCCUUACAUCAGUUGUAAAUUACAGAGAACCCAAGUCUGUUUGCAAAGCACCUGAAUUGCUCGCUAAGUACUGUGACAACUUGCUGAAGAAAUCAGCAAAGGGGAUGACAGAGAAUGAAGUAGAGGACAAGCUCACGAGCUUUAUCACUGUCUUCAAAUAUAUUGACGAUAAAGAUGUUUUUCAAAAGUUCUAGGCAAGAAUGUUG